AGAAGAUGGGUGAUUCUGCUUCUUUCCUUCAGAUGGAAUGAAUAUGCUGAUUCUGUGAAGGUUUAUUGCAACAUGGCUUUUCAGCACAGCAACAGGAAAAGUUGAUUCUGGGUCUGUUCUACAAAAUUGAAGCUUUCUCAGCUCAAAAAAACAGCAUAGACUGUGAGUGAUGGUGGCCAUCUUGGAUCAUGUGUAGAGACUGAAUUUCAGUGACGACCAAAGGCUGUUUCUUAGAAUAUGGCACUUACAUCGAGCUGUGGUCCUUCUUCUGACCAUACAUGCAUUGCUCCAUCUGAACAUUCGGGAACAGGUUCAAAGCCGCCAACACUACGAGCAGCAGCACCGUCACAAUCACAACAGAUCAUCAAAAAUGGGACCACUGGUGGUGGAAGGAUAGUAAUACUGGAGUUAGCAUUGGAUGCAAAUCAAAAGCAAAACAACCUGAUUUUUUUUAUGGUUAAAU